rnacentral:rRNA from 1 species
GAUGAACGCUGGCGGCGUGCCUAAUACAUGCAAGUCGAGCGAACAGACGAGGAGCUUGCUCCUCUGACGUUAUCGGCGGACGGGUGAGUAACACGUGGAUAACCUACCUAUAAGACUGGGAUAACUUCGGGAAACCGGAGCUAAUACCGGAUAAUAUAUUGAACCGCAUUGUUCAAUAGUUAAAUACGGUUUUGCUUUCACUUAUAGAUGGAUCCGCCCCGCAUUAGCUAGUUGGUAAGGUAACGGCUUACCAAAGCAACGAUGCGUAGCCGACCUAAGAGGGUGAACGGCCACACGGGAACUGAGGAAGGGUCCCGACACCUACGGGAGGAAGCAGCAGGGAAUCCUACGGAAUGGGGCAAAGGCUGACGGAGGAAAGCCGCGUGAGGGAUGAAGGUGUUCGGAUCGGAAAACUAUGUAAGUAGGGGAGAACAAAAGUGUAAGUAACUAUGAACGUAUUGACGGUACCUAAUCAAAAAGCCACGGCUAACUCCGUG